UGUUGUCGUCGUUCGUUGUCGUUGUUUGUUGUCAUCGCAUCAGUACGACGUCAUAUUGCGUAGUAAAGACACUUCUCAGUGGAAACGCACGCCUGACCCAGGACUGUACUGUACUGAACCAGACCAGAGGGGUAUUCCAGAAAGCAGGUUCAACACACUCUGAGUCUAUCCCUGAACUCUGAGUUGACUUACUCUGAGUCGGGAAACUCUGAGUAUCCGGUUCCAGAACAGCUGAUCAGAGUUAGUUCAAUCAACUCUGAGUAUGUUAACCUCGAGGUACGCGCGUGCACAACCACUAUAAAAAGCCAUCAUCAAUGGAGCCCCGAUACCACGAGUCACCAUGACAACCGAGAAAAAAAAAAAAAUCAACUUAUUUCAGUGAGAAGGAGUUGGAGAUCCUUUUGCUGGGCUACGGAGAAUAUGAGCACAUAUUUCGCCGCGAAUGCAACACAGCUGCAGCAGCGAAGGAGAGAGAGACCGCAUGGGAGAAAAUUACUGCCCGAGUCAACGCGUGCAAUCCAACAGGAGAAAGGAGGACUUGGAAGCAGCUCAAAAUGAAACAUAAAAACAUCAUUCAAAAAGCCAACAGAAAGAAGGCAGAGCCCCGAAAAACGGGUGGAGGGCCACCUCCACCACCUCUGACAGAGGCUGAGGAGCUGGCUCUCAGCCAAUACAGGGGUCGCCCUGUGGCUGAAGGCAUCCCCGGGGGAAGCUCAUCUGAGCCUGUCACCCCCCAGGACACAAG